UACGUAGGCAGCGAGCGUUGUUCGGAGUUACUGGGCGUAAAGCGUGCGUAGGCGGUGUCUUAAGUUUGUUGUGAAAUCUCCCGGCUUAACCGGGAGGGUGCGGCGAAUACUGAGAUGCUGGAGUGCCGGAGAGGUAAGCGGAAUUCCUGGUGUAGCGGUGAAAUGCGUAGAUAUCAGGAGGAACACCUGCGGUGUAGACGGCUUACUGGACGGUAACUGACGCUGAGGCACGAAAGCGUGGGGAGCAAACAGG
rnacentral:rRNA from 1 species